UUUUUGGCAUAAUCAUCAAUAGGAAUUGCAGUAAGAUCACACAAUCAUUACUAAGAAUUGACGUUACACGAACUGAUACAAGAAAAUCAAGUGACCUUACUUGAAUCUUUUCUUCUUUAUACACUUUAUCUAUAAAGAAAAUGCAAGCAAGAAUUCACAAGCACAUCAUUCUUGCCUAACAAAUGGUGAGGAGCUCAUGUCCGUACUGUAAAAUGAGUCCUCAACUCCACCAUAGUAAUUAUCCUCUUUCUCCUCAUCCCACUUAAGAACCUCCCUUAUGUACUUGAAUGCCUCAUCAAUGGUUAAUCGCUCUCUAGCCCUCGCUUGCCACACGAAAAGCUUACGACCGGUGAUAGAAGCAUAGAGAUCCUUAAACUUCAUUGCAACAUAGUAGUAUGCCUG
rnacentral:misc_RNA from 1 species